AACCCGUGGUGAGGGCAAUCUCUCUGAUAAGCCUUGAAUCGUUCCCAUGAAGCCUUGAAUGCUUCAGUUGGACCCUGAACAAACAAGGAGAUCUUGGCUCUCAAGUC
rfam:Arabis alpina cultivar Pajares chromosome 6, whole genome shotgun sequence.